rnacentral:rRNA from 1 species
GUUGUAUGGUUAAGUGACUAAGCGUACACGGUGGAUGCCUUGGCAGUCAGAGGCGAUGAAAGACGUAGUAACUUGCGAUAAGCCCAGAUUAGGUAGUAACAACCAUUUGAGUCUGGGAUUUCUGAAUGGGGAAACCCACUUACAUAAGUAAGUAUCAUUAACUGAAUACAUAGGUUAAUGAGGCGAACCGGGGGAACUGAAACAUCUAAGUACCCCGAGGAAAAGAAAUCAACCGAGAUUCCGAAAGUAGCGGCGAGCGAAAUUGGACUAGCCCUUAAGCUUUACACGCGUUAGACGAACGGUCUGGAAAGUCCGACGAUACAGGGUGAUAGUCCCGUAGUUGACGACGUGUGUUCAGUGAAAUCGAGUAGGGCGGGACACGUGAUAUCCUGUCUGAAUAUGGGGGGACCAUCCUCCAAGGCUAAAUACUACUGACUGACCGAUAGUGAACCAGUACCGUGAGGGAAAGGCGAAAAGAACCCCUGUGAGGGGAGUGAAAUAGAACCUGAAACCGUGUACGUACAAGCAGUAGGAGCAGGCUUGUCCUGUGACUGCGUACCUUUUGUAUAAUGGGUCAGCGACUUAUAUUCAGUGGCAAGGUUAACCAUCUAGGGGAGCCGUAGGGAAACCGAGUCUUAACUGGGCGUUCAGUCUCUGGAUAUAGACCCGAAACCAGGUGAUCUAGCCAUGGGCAGGUUGAAGGUUGAGUAACAUCAACUGGAGGACCGAACCGACUAAUGUUGAAAAAUUAGCGGAUGACUUGUGGCUAGGGGUGAAAGGCCAAUCAAACCUGGAGAUAGCUGGUUCUCCCCGAAAGCUAUUUAGGUAGCGCCUCGGACGAAUACUACUGGGGGUAGAGCACUGUUAAGGCUAGGGGGUCAUCCCGACUUACCAACCCUUUGCAAACUCCGAAUACCAGUAAGUACUAUCCGGGAGACACACGGCGGGUGCUAACGUCCGUCGUGGAGAGGGAAACAACCCAGACCGCCAGCUAAGGUCCCAAAUUACUACUAAGUGGGAAACGAUGUGGGAAGGCUCAGACAGCCAGGAUGUUGGCUUAGAAGCAGCCAUCAUUUAAAGAAAGCGUAAUAGCUCACUGGUCGAGUCGGCCUGCGCGGAAGAUGUAACGGGGCUAAGUAGUAAACCGAAGCUGCGGCAAUAUACUUUUGUAUAUUGGGUAGGGGAGCGUUCUGUAAGCGGUUGAAGGUGUGUGGUAACGCAUGCUGGACGUAUCAGAAGUGCGAAUGCUGACAUGAGUAACGAUAAAGGGGGUGAAAAACCUCCUCGCCGGAAGACCAAGGGUUCCUGUCCAACGUUAAUCGGGGCAGGGUAAGUCGACCCCUAAGGCGAGGCCGAAAGGCGUAGUCGAUGGGAAACGGGUUAAUAUUCCCGUACUUCUUACAAUUGCGAUGGGGGGACGGAGAAGGCUAGGUGGGCCUGGCGACGGUUGUCCAGGUUCAAGUGCGUAGGCUUAAGAGUUAGGUAAAUCCGGCUCUUUUUAAGGCUGAGACACGACGUCGAGCUACUACGGUAGUGAAGUCAUUGAUGCCAUGCUUCCAGGAAAAGCCUCUAAGCUUCAGAUUGUAAGGAAUCGUACCCCAAACCGACACAGGUGGUCGGGUAGAGAAUACCAAGGCGCUUGAGAGAACUCGGGUGAAGGAACUAGGCAAAAUGGUACCGUAACUUCGGGAGAAGGUACGCUCUCGACGGUGAAGUCCCUCGCGGAUGGAGCUAUUGAGAGUCGCAGAUACCAGGUGGCUGCAACUGUUUAUUAAAAACACAGCACUGUGCAAAAUCGUAAGAUGACGUAUACGGUGUGACGCCUGCCCGGUGCCGGAAGGUUAAUUGAUGGGGUUAGACUUCGGUCGAAGCUCUUGAUCGAAGCCCCGGUAAACGGCGGCCGUAACUAUAACGGUCCUAAGGUAGCGAAAUUCCUUGUCGGGUAAGUUCCGACCUGCACGAAUGGCGUAAUGAUGGCCACGCUGUCUCCACCCGAGACUCAGUGAAAUUGAAAUCGCUGUGAAGAUGCAGUGUACCCGCGGCUAGACGGAAAGACCCCGUGAACCUUUACUACAGCUUGGCACUGAACAUUGACCCUACAUGUGUAGGAUAGGUGGGAGGCUUUGAAGCACGUACGCCAGUAUGUGUGGAGCCGUCCUUGAAAUACCACCCUUGUAGUGUUGAUGUUCUAACGUCGACCCCUUAUCGGGGUUGCGGACAGUGCCUGGUGGGUAGUUUGACUGGGGCGGUCUCCUCCCAAAGAGUAACGGAGGAGCACGAAGGUGGGCUAAUCACGGUUGGACAUCGUGAGGUUAGUGCAAUGGCAUAAGCCCGCUUGACUGCGAGAAUGACAAUUCGAGCAGGUGCGAAAGCAGGUCAUAGUGAUCCGGUGGUUCUGAAUGGAAGGGCCAUCGCUCAACGGAUAAAAGGUACUCCGGGGAUAACAGGCUGAUACCGCCCAAGAGUUCAUAUCGACGGCGGUGUUUGGCACCUCGAUGUCGGCUCAUCACAUCCUGGGGCUGAAGUCGGUCCCAAGGGUAUGGCUGUUCGCCAUUUAAAGUGGUACGCGAGCUGGGUUUAGAACGUCGUGAGACAGUUCGGUCCCUAUCUGCCGUGGGCGUUGGAAGAUUGAAGGGGGCUGCUCCUAGUACGAGAGGACCGGAGUGGACGAACCUCUGGUGUUCGGGUUGUGUCGCCAGACGCAUUGCCCGGUAGCUAAGUUCGGAAUCGAUAACCGCUGAAAGCAUCUAAGCGGGAAGCGAGCCCUGAGAUGAGUCUUCCCUGAUACUUUAAGUAUCCUAAAGGGUUGUCGGAGACUACGACGUUGAUAGGUCAGGUGUGUAAGUGCUGUGAGGCAUUGAGCUAACUGAUACUAAUUGCCCGUGAGGCUUAACCAUACAACACCCAAGGGGUUU